rnacentral:rRNA from 1 species
GACGAACGCUGGCGGCGUGCCUAAUACAUGCCAGUCGAACGGACAGGCCCUGCUUUUGCGGCGUGCUCGAGUGGCGAACGGGUGAGUAACACGUGAGUAACAUGCCCCUGACUUUGGGAUAACUUCACGAAACUGGGGCUCUUACCGGAUAGGAGCUCUUGCUGCAUGGUGGGGGUUGGAAAGUUUCGGCGGUUGGGGAUGGACUCGCGGCUUAUCAGCUUGUUGGUGGGGUAGUGGCUUACCAAGGCUGUGACGGGUAGCCGGCCUGAGAGAGUGACCGGCCACCAUGGGACUGCGAGAGGGCCCAGACUCCUACGGGAGGCAGCGGUGGGGAAUAUUGCGGAAUGGGCGGGAGCGUGAGGCAGCGGCGCCGCGUGCGGGAUGACGGCCUUCGAGUUAUGAACCGCUUUCGCCUGUGACGAGGCGUGAGUGACGGUAAUGGGUAAGGAAGCACCGGCUAACUACGUG